AGCUUCAGUCAUACGAGACCGUACCGCAAACCGACACAGGUGGGCGAGAUGAGUAUUCUAAGGCGCUUGAGAGAACUCGGGAGAAGGAACUCGGCAAAUUGGUACCGUAACUUCGGGAUAAGGUACGCCCUUGUAGUUUGACUGGCUCGCGCCAGAAGGACGAAGGGGUUGCAA
rnacentral:rRNA from 1 species